AUUUUGAUAGUCAAUCGCUGUAUCUGAAAAAAGAUAUAGAGGAAACUCCACGCUUGCACAAUCUGCGAUGAUUGUAGUGUUUGUGCUAAACGAAAAAAUAAGUUUAGGCAUUAUUUAUGAUGACGGCAAAACUAACCUAAGGGAAACUAUGGAAUGGUUUGAGGUGCCACAGAGACGAGUAAAGGGAAACCUGGAAAUGGAACGCGGUAAACCCCACAAGCAAGAAACUCAAAUUUUGGUAGAGGAACUUAACAACAAGAAUUGAAUUGAAGUUAGGAUCGAAAGAUAGAUAGAUGAUUGACACAGGAAACUGAACAGAACGUGGGUUAUGCAA
rnacentral:RNase_P_RNA from 1 species